CGCAGGUGGAGGUACCUUUGUGCUUUGUCUUAAGUCCUUUCUCGGCAAGGCCACAUCAGCUGUUUGACAGUGCCUCCUCUUCCUUACAGUGUCCCCCUCUCCCCAGCUCUGCUGGCCUGGACUGUCACCUGUCUUCU
rnacentral:lncRNA from 1 species